CUGCCCCUCCUGCCCUCUUAUUUUGGGAUACGCCCUGGUUUUCACCGUGCUUCUCAGAGACUCACCUCAUUGGAUAUCAGAGCCAAGGUGUUUCUCUAUCAGACAGGUGAAAUGRCAGUCUUCCUCUAGCUCCGGGGAUAGUAACACCUGAUGCCGUCAGUCCGUCAGACUCCCAUACUAAAGCCAUUUGGGGCUGAUUCGAGGCUGUUUCAUCCCUCGUAUUUUGCUUUCAGCACCUCUGCCUUGUUGGGUAGUUUAGAGAUCCCCAUAUUCAUCUACAAAGRAAAGUUCGCUUCUGUGUAUCAGCUGUGCUGACGUGUCAACACGGAGGUUCGGAAAGCCGGUGACGUCAUUGAAAUCAAGUCUCUCAUCUGGUCCAGAUAACGAGACUUAACUGAACUGAAUCCUGAUCCUGCCUCUGUGAGAUUCUUUUUUCAUCAAACAUCUCUUUUGCUGUGGAGCGACAUGUAUGGAAGUCAAUGAGUGCCCUUCUUUUUGCUUUUUUUUCUCCUCGCUCAACUGUGAAGAAUAUUGGACUUUCUUUGUUCUCUCACUUAUAAUACAAGCCUGAAAACUAAUUCUAUGUGGAUUUUUUUCUUUAUUAUUAUUCAGUGAUUUUGUGGUUUGGAAACAAA